rnacentral:rRNA from 1 species
GUGGGGAAUAUUGGACAAUGGGCGAAAGCCUGAUCCAGCCAUGCCGCGUGUGUGAAGAAGGUCUUCGGAUUGUAAAGCACUUUAAGUUGGGAGGAAGGGCAGUAAGUUAAUACCUUGCUGUUUUGACGUUACCGACAGAAUAAGCACCGGCUAACUUCGUGCCAGCAGCCGCGGUAAUACGUAGGGGGCAAGCGUUGUCCGGAAUGAUUGGGCGUAAAGGGCGCGUAGGCGGCCUGGUAAGUCUGGAGUGAAAGUCCUGCUUUUAAGGUGGGAAUUGCUUUGGAUACUGCUGGGCUUGAGUGCAGGAGAGGUAAGUGGAAUUCCCGGUGUAGCGGUGAAAUGCGUAGAGAUCGGGAGGAACACCAGUGGCGAAGGCGACUUACUGGACUGUAACUGACGCUGAGGCGCGAAAGUGUGGGGAGCAAACAGGAUUAGAUACCCGUGUAGUCC